GCGUAAGAGGUCAUCAACCUUUAUAAGCCUGACAAUUUUUCCAACGCCAGUUCGCAGAGCCUGCAUCAACGAGCAGCUGCCUACACAGCAUUUCAUUACAGCUGUUUGCGAAAAGAAUAUGUCAGGCGAGACAUACGACGGCGGCAGGUGCUAUCUGAGAGCAGAAAUAACCUCUAUCUCGGUCCUGAUGGAUAAGUAGACAGGAAGGCAAGGUAGUGGUGGUGCAUGUCGCAAAAGACAUUAAUGUAAUGGAAUAAGUUGAGGGCCCUCCGUCAAACUCAGUGCUCUUCGCUGCUUCCUUUCCUGCUGCUUGUCUGUUGAUUCAUGCCAGAUGAAUUGCCUCUCCGCCAGCCUGCCCUCUCUAACUCGAUGUAAAAGCCUUGAGCUCAGUGCAUAAUUCAUUAGCAAUGUGAUUAGCUUCAAGUGCUACACUGAUCGGUUGAACUGAGCUGGAGCUAGAAAAGAGCAAGGCAAGGAGACUUUCAAAUAGCUCCAAGCUUACACAUUAAACAUGUGCUUCUAAAUCCUAACCACAUAAUUAAGUACCGCAAGUAUUUCAAUAUUUUGUUUCAUGUCGCAUAUAACGCUAACAUUAUGGGAUGGGUGUUAUUAUACUAGUGCUGCUUUGAUAGAGGCCAUAAACUAUAAUCGCUCUUGAGUACCAGCCUUAUUAACCUCUUCUCAGAUGGAUUGGUACACAAGUCAUCAAUUUGCUCCUAGAAAACUUGCUUUAAGUUCGCCAUCCGUCUUUGUCAGGAACAAUCGCCAACUUCAUCACUCAAGCCAGAGAGGCAAGCGAGCGGGAUUGGCACAGCGGUUCUUGUGACUUUCUUACUCCCUGCUGCCAGAUCCGGCCUUCUUCCCAUGCUCUGUCAGAGGGGUUCUUCCGGAAGGUUGUCAAGGGCAAGGACAGAAGUGAUGCCACAGUGGUAACAUUUCCAGUAGGCUUUGCCUACCCGAUUAUACACGCUAUCUGCAAGUGGUCAGGCCUCAGCGGGAUGUCAUGAGUGGACUAUCCAGGACCUCCCUAAUCCGUUAGAAGCAGCUGAAUAUGUGUGGUCAGAGAGAGGUCAGGCUUCAGCGCAUAGCAAAACUCUGCUGAAAAGAGGGUACUUUGGAAGAGACGAGCAUGUUCAUAACAGGGCUGUGCACUUGAGAAGGUCUCUUAAACUGCAAUUCAGAUCCUAAAUUUGAACUGAAUUUGAAUUGAGGCAGCAAACAGGAUGCAGUAUUGGAGGAAAGACAAACUUUAAAUGUAGAAAGUUGUAAAAAAAGAUUAGAUUGCUGAAGUUUUAUCAGCCUAACAGAUAGAUACGUAACAGAUAAAAUAGACAGAUAAAUAGAAUGAUAGAGUGACAGAACAACAGAACAUUAAAUAUAAUGUUGGAAAGAACAACAGAUAGCUUGAUAGAACCAUAAACUGAUAGACAGAAUGACAGAGAGAUGUAUAGAUAGACAGAUAGAAUGACAGAACAAUGGAGGGAAUGAUAGAUGGAACAAUAGUUUGAUAGAUAGAAUGAUAGAUAGAUAGAUAGAACGAUAGUUUGAUAGAUAGAAUGAUAGAUAGAUAGAUAGAAUGAUAGUUUGAUAGAUAGAAUGAUAGAUAGAUAGAACGAUAGUUUGAUAGAUAGAAUGAUAGUUUGAUAGAUAGAAUGAUAGAUAAAACCACACUCUAAACCCGGAUUUUGUUUUAAAUAAACGUUUUUAGCUGUCUUUAAUUAUUAUUUCUUGUUUUUGUAAAACACGUCGCCAUUACUAAAUAUAAUUAGUUAUUUGAAGUAAUCAGACGAAAUAUUGCAUGCAAUGAUAAUGUUUAGUAGAGAUAGCUUAAUGUGUUAAGUUUCUCUGAGGGGGAGGAGCCCUAUUUGAACACGUCUGCUUGAGCGCGCGAUGUUUGAAGAGAUCUGAGACCGGUUGAUGAUGCACGCGAUGGAUUUGGAAAACAUCAUGAAACGGUGUUCAUGGAGUUCUACAGGAUUGUGGGCAAGAAUCUCAAGCAAUCAUCUAAUUGAGAUUUCAGUCUAAAGAGGGAAUGCUGGACAGCUGUUGACAGCUUUCACAACAAAUCAAGACUAAAGAGCCAGCUGAUACUAGGUUUCUCCCUUUUGCCGUUUGCGACAACCCUACAGAUUUCUACAAAAUAUGCUUUGACUCUGAUGACGAUUACUCAUUCCACCACCUGGACAUUGGAAUCAUCCUCACUGAGUAUGAAGGUGAUGUGCUCUCAUCCUCUCUCCGUCUCAAUCCAGCCCCAUCAUUGAAGGAGAUUUUGUGAUGCACAGUAUUGAAGACUUGUCAAAAGCUGUGCAUUCUGUAUGGACUUACGCACUGCAUCUCAACUAUCCUAAAUAUGCGAAGAACACAUUCCAGAUCAUCCAACAGGUACUUCUCAUGUUGGGCCACAGUGAACUAAAACCCAGGUUGCAAACUGAAAAAUUGUCCUACAGUGUUAGGAAAUGCAAGAAGCUUCCAUGAGAAGUCACUUGUGUUCUGCCAUACGAGACAUUAAAGUGUAUUCUGUCUCUGCAUAUUAGUGCUGUUAGAGCUCCGUUAAUGUGUGUUCACACAAUGCUUCAGCCAAGUUUAAAGUUAGAGACUUGCCUCUGUUUUAAUUUAAGCCCAGUUGUUAAUGCACAUCCAGGCAUUCACAAGGGAUAUAGCAUAUAUUCUUGAAUACUGUGUUCAUGUUUCUUCUACAAAAUAGUUACAAUUGUUAACGAGCUGUUCCAAAGCUUAUUUUUACUUGUCUUGUGGCUGACAAGUUUUAUGUAUUGUUGUGCUACCAUUUCUUUGGUGAACAAAAAAAAAUAAAAAAACAUUGGUGCAUUGAAAUCUGUUUUUCUUUUUUCCAAUUUAUAUGAAACUAAAUGUUUAAUACAAUAAAUCUCAAAAUCUAUGUCUAAUUACAUGACAUUACAUAAAUGUGUCAUUACUUAAAAACAUUUGUUAAUGUUAUUUGCUAAUAUGUUUUUGUAGUUGUAACUUGAAAGCUAUUUUAUACAACCUAUACUCCAAAUAACAAUAAUUGAUGUGAACUAAUGAUUUUGAGUAAAGACUACUAAUGUAAACCUGAUUUGUCUA